rnacentral:rRNA from 1 species
GGACGGGAUUUGGGAGCUUGCUCCUGAUGAGAGUGGCGCACGGGUGCGUAACACGUAUGUAACCUACCCAUAUCAGGGGGAUAGCCUCUCGAAAGAGAGAUUAAGCCCGCAUAAAAUCACACUAUGGCAUCAUAGAAUGAUCAAAUAUUUAUAGGAUAUGGAUGGGCAUGCGGAACAUUAGCUAGUUGGUAAGGUAACGGCUUACCAAGGCUACGAUGUUUAGGGGAUCUGAGAGGAUGACCCCCCACACUGGUACUGAGACACGGACCAGACUCCUACGGGAGGCAGCAGUAAGGAAUAUUGGUCAAUGGACGGAAGUCUGAACCAGCCAUGCCGCGUGCAGGAAGACGGCCCUACGGGUUGUAAACUGCUUUUGUACUGGAAUAAACCUCGAUACGUGUAUCGAGUUGAAUGUACAGUAAGAAUAAGGAUCGGCUAACUCCGUG